rnacentral:rRNA from 1 species
ACCAAACAGCUAGCUCAACCCGCAAACGACCAGAUUAACAACAUAAACCAAUCUAUCAUAAAUCGACCCCCUUCAACCAAACCAUUUGACCACCCCAGUACGGGCGACGAAAAAGGGCUAAUGAAGCCAUAGACAAAGUACCGCAAGGGAAAGCUGAAAGAGAGCUGAAAUAGAGCCCUAAAGUACAUAAAAGCAGAGACCAAACCUCGUACCUUUUGCAUCAUGAUCUAGCCAGUAACUCCAAGCGAAGAGACCUCUAGUUUGAACCCCCGAAACCAGACGAGCUACUCCGGGGCAGCCUAUUGCAGGGCCAACCCGUCUCUGUGGCAAAAGAGUGGGAAGACCCCCGAGUAGAGGUGAAAGACCUACCGAGUCCGGUUAUAGCUGGUUGCCCAGGAAAUGAAUAGAAGUUCAGCCCCGUAAGCCCUCACCCACAACAGUACUACUUAACCCAGGCGAGAGGAUAGUCACGGGAGUUAGUCAAAGGAGGUACAGCUCCCUUAACAAAGGAUACAACCUUCGCAGGAGGCUAAGGAAUACACUAAGUCAAGGCCAUGGGUUUCAGUGGGCCUAAAAGCAGCCACCUAAAUCGAAAGCGUUAAAGCUCAAGCCAAGUCAAGCCUAUUAUAAUAUUAAACACCCCCAAUGCCCCUAACCAAUACUGGGCCCCCCUAUGCUCCCAUAGAAGAGACCAUGCUAGAACGAGUAAUAAGAAGAAUGAACUUCUCCCUGCACAUGUGUAAGUCGAAUCGGACUCACCAUCGACAAUUAACGAACCCAACAAAAGAGGGACACGCACCAUUGCCACACCCGGCCAGGAAAACCACGCGAACCCCCAUCGUUACCCCCACACAGGAGUGCUACUGACAAAGGGAAAGACUUAAAGAAUGAAAAGGAACUCGGCAAACAUAAACCCCGCCUGUUUACCAAAAACAUCGCCUCCUGCUCAUAUCAGUAUAGGAGGUCCCGCCUGCCCUGUGACCAAAGGUUUAACGGCCGCGGUAUUUUAACCGUGCGAAGGUAGCGCAAUCAAUUGUCUUUUAAAUGGAGACCUGUAUGAAUGGCAUAACGAGGGUUUAACUGUCUCUUUUUUCCGGUCAAUGAAACUGAUCUACCCGUGCAGAAGCGGGCAUGAACACACAAGACGAGAAGACCCUAUGGAGCUUUAGACGCCCACCAACCACGAGAAGCGGCCGUCACACGGACCUCAAACGACAUGGUUAUGGCACAAACGUCUUCGGUUGGGGCGACCACGGAGGAGAACACAGCCUCCGAGAGGACUGGGAAAACCCUGAAACCAAGAGCCACAGCUCUAAGUCACAAAACAUUUGACCUAUUAGUGAUCCGGCCUACUGCCGAUCAACGGACCAAGUUACCCUAGGGAUAACAGCGCAAUCCUCUCCCAGAGUUCAUAUCGACGAGUGGGUUUACGACCUCGAUGUUGGAUCAGGACAUCCUAAUGGUGCAGCCGCUAUUAAGGGUUCGUUUGUUCAACGAUUAAAGUCCUACGUGAUCUGAGUUCAGACCGGAGUAAUCCAGGUCAGUUUCUAUCUGUGAUACCACCCUUCCUAGUACGAAAGGACCGGAAUGGUGAGGCCUCUGCCCCGGGCACGCCUCCCCCCCACCUGCUGAAAACAACUGAAACAGGUAAGGGGGGCCAACCUCUUGAGCCCGAGACCGAGGGCAU